rnacentral:misc_RNA from 1 species
AUGAAGAACGCAGCGAAAUGCGAAAAGUAAUGUGAAUUGCAGAAUUCAGUGAAUCAUCGAAUCUUUGAACGCACAUUGCGCCCGCCAGUAUUCUGGCGGGCAUGCCUGUCUGAGCGUCAUUUCAACCCUCACGCCCCUAGGGCGUGGUGUUGGGGAUCGGCCAAGGCCCGCAAGGGACGGCCGGCCCCUAAAUCUAGUGGCGGACCCAUCGUGGCCUCCCCUGCGAAGUAGUAAUAUAUUCCGCAUCGGAUAGCGAUGAGCCCCUGCCGUUAAACCCCCAACUCUUUCAAGGUUGACCUCAGAUCAGGUAGGAAUACCCGCUGAACUUAAGCAUAUCAAUAAGCGGAGGA